rnacentral:rRNA from 1 species
UGCGUAGGCGGCUUCUUAAGUCGGAUGUGAAAUCCCUGAGCUUAACUUAGGAAUUGCAUUCGAUACUGGGAAGCUAGAGUAUGGGAGAGGAUGGUAGAAUUCCAGGUGUAGCGGUGAGAUGCGUAGAGAUCUGGAGGAAUACCGAUGGCGAAGGCAGCCAUCUGGCCUAAUACUGACGCUGAGGUACGAAAGCAUGGGGAGCAAACA